GGGUUGUGAGGUUAAGCGACUAAGCGUACACGGUGGAUGCCCUGGCAGUCAGAGGCGAUGAAGGGCGUGCUAAUCUGCGAUAAGCGCCGGUAAGGUGAUAUGAACCGUUAUAACCGGCGAUACCCGAAUGGGGAAACCCAGUGUGAUUCGUCACACUAUCAUUAACUGAAUCCAUAGGUUAAUGAGGCGAACCGGGGGAACUGAAACAUCUAAGUACCCCGAGGAAAAGAAAUCAACCGAGAUUCCCCCAGUAGCGGCGAGCGAACGGGGAGGAGCCCAGAGCCUGAAUCAGCAUGUGUGUUAGUGGAAGCGUCUGGAAAGGCGCGCGAUACAGGGUGACAGCCCCGUACACAAAAGCGCAUGUGCUGUGAGCUCGAUGAGUAGGGCGGGACACGUGGUAUCCUGUCUGAAUAUGGGGGGACCAUCCUCCAAGGCUAAAUACUCCUGACUGACCGAUAGUGAACCAGUACCGUGAGGGAAAGGCGAAAAGAACCCCGGCGAGGGGAGUGAAAAAGAACCUGAAACCGUGUACGUACAAGCAGUGGGAGCACAGGUUUACCUGUGUGACUGCGUACCUUUUGUAUAAUGGGUCAGCGACUUAUAUUCUGUAGCAAGGUUAACCGAAUAGGGGAGCCGGAGGGAAACCGAGUCUUAA
rnacentral:rRNA from 2 species